GUCCUCCAAUCCCGCGCCCCCAAGCCCGUUGACCUUUAACCUCCUCCGGGCCCCCAGCUCCGGGGCACUACGGUGAAGGAGGCUGCAGGGCGCCGGGGCUUACCCCAUUCCCACCGCCGGGCUUCCGGGCGACUCCUGGCCCUGCCCCGAGUCCGCGCCUCCGACAGCGGUCGCCGGUACCUCUGCUCCUCGAAGCCCCGGCGUCGGUUGUCGGAGAAGUCGGCGCGGAAGCUUCAGAGGCCGUCCAGCUGCUUGCGCUGCCACGACAGGCUCUCUCGGGGAUACAGCAUCCCGUCCGGUAGCGCCAACGUGCAGCCAUACAACAGCAGCCGGAGAGCCGCCCAGGCCACUGCCGCCCCCCAGGCGAGGCUUCCCCCUCCCCGUCUCGGCCGCAGUCUACGGGGAUAAGAGCUGCGCGGGAGGAGCACUGCGGCAAGGUGCAGUGGCUACGGCUGGACGUGAGAACCACUACAUGAUUUGUAAAAACCAUGCAGCUUCCAUAACAUUUUCACCUAGCAUCCUCGACCAGUUACCGGUGGAAGGUAUCCAGCUUCCCAGUGGUGAAUCCAUACGCAUCUGUAGCAACCUCAAUUCUUGCCGCCUCAGAAGAAAGAAUUUGACCGAGGGUCAUAAGGCAGAAACCAGACAGAG